rnacentral:pre_miRNA from 2 species
GGUGGCUUGUGGGGAAUGUUGGCUGGCUCGAGGUAUCCACAUCUUAAUUCCUCUCCGGCGAUCGAGCCGGCUCGGGCGUGUGGAAGCGUCGGACCAGGCUUCAUUCCUCGCAAGCCGAU